rnacentral:rRNA from 1 species
UACGAAGGGUGCAAACGUUGCUCGGAAUUAUUGGGCGUAAAGCGCACGUAGGCGGCUUAGCAAGUCGGAAGUGAAAGCCCUCGGCUCAACCAAGGAAGUGCUUUCGAAACUGCUGAGCUUGAGUAGUUAAGAGGAUCGCGGAAUUCCCGGUGUAGAGGUGAAAUUCGUAGAUAUCGGGAGGAACACCAGUGGCGAAGGCGGCGAUCUGGGAACAUACUGACGCUGAGGUGCGAAAGCGUGGGGAGCA